AUUGUCUUUUACAUUAGGUUUUGGUCAAAACAAAGUUUUGCCCGGGCCUCAUCUCUUUACAUCGCAAUCUGCAGCUCAUUUGUUUAGUUGUUGUCACACAUACUGCAACCCACCUUCACCAGCAUCGGCGAUGAGAUAGUGGUCCUGAGGGCUCCAGCGACAUGCGAGGAAUCGGGGUAUGACUUCUUCAUUUACCCACAAAUUCACUGAAGCAGAUUCGACUAUGGUUUUUGCGGUUUUCCAAGCACUAGAGGUACGUUGUGCAUCUGUAUAUCUUUCAUGCUUUCACUUCUGGAUUUGGAAAAAUCCCUUGAUUAUAUUUUUGUGAAUCCUUAUCUCUCUCACGCUUCCACACAAGCUUCUAUCCACAAUCUCCUGGAUUUGUUCGAAUCCAAAUCUUUUGGAUUUGGAAAAAUCCGUUGAUUCUGUUUAUUCUUCGCAGGUAUGUUGUGAAUCCCUAUCUCUCUCAUGCUUUGUGUGAGGCUUUUAUUUACGAUCUUCUGGAUUUGAAAAAAUCCCUUGAUUGUCUCUGUGAAUCCUAAAUCCCUUGCUUGUCUCUGUGAUUCUCUCUCAUGCUUUGUCACAAGACUUGGAUAUAUGGCAAAUACAUCAUGAGAUCAAUCAACUCUGCAGCCCUCAUAGUCUUCACAAGACUAAAUUGAUGUGUUUUUUAUAGCAAAACUUUUUCAUAGAAAACUUUGCUUGCAUAGUUAGGACCCUUUUGCAUUAAAGAAAAUCUCUACUAAAUACCUCUUUCCAUUUUCUCUAUGUUUAAUGCUUGGCUUAGUGAUUGGAGAUUAUGAACAGACAGAACUGCAAGGCUGAUUCUAAGUGCACACCUCAUCCGGGUGCGGAAGGAGAUGUUGUUCUUCAAAGAGAGAAGGGGAGCUAAGGAAUGAGAAGAGAGAAAUAUAGCGGUUCUACAAAGAGAGAAGGGGAAUUGAGGAAUGAGAAGUAAGAGAGAAAUAUAGCUAGGUUAGAGAGAAACGAAUAUUGCUGAGGUGAUUGUGACAAAUGGAGAUGUUUGGUGAUCUACUCCCUCUCACCAUUUUACAAUGCUAGAGACAAUGUUAAUAGCAAUAGCAAGGGUCCUGUUCCAAGUAAGUAGGACUGCGCCAUAUGCUUAUUGUAAGUAUCAAACAUCAAGGAUAUCUCUUGCCAUUGGGAUCUUGACAAGGCAGGAUCUUCUGGCCUCCAACAUGAAGACAGUCUUUCCUAAUUUAAGUAUAAGAAAAGACAUACAAAGCAUAGGAGCAGAUCUCAUGCUGGAAGAGAAAAAAAAUAGGUUAUGAAAAUCAGAUAGAUUUCAACAAGUGAGGUUGGAUGUUCUAGCCGCGAGCCUCUUGCGGGUUUUUCAAAUACAAACCAAGGACCUGAAAUAUAAUGAGUGAUGUUUCUGAUGGGCUUAGAGCCAAAAUUCGAGCCAUGUUGGUGACUAACUUAUAAAAGCUGCAUAGGGUUGCCAACUAUUGUUUUUCCUCUUUAUUAUCGUGUACCAUUGUUCCAUUAGACAUAAAUUGAUGUUAUUGAUUUC